rnacentral:rRNA from 1 species
CAGCCGCCGCGGUAACACAGAGGGUGCGAGCGUUAAUCGGAUUUACUGGGCGUAAAGCGUGCGUAGGCGGCUUUUUAAGUCGGAUGUGAAAUCCCUGAGCUUAACUUAGGAAUUGCAUUCGAUACUGGGAAGCUAGAGUAUGGGAGAGGAUGGUAGAAUUCCAGGUGUAGCGGUGAAAUGCGUAGAGAUCUGGAGGAAUACCGAUGGCGAAGGCAGCCAUCUGGCCUAAUACUGACGCUGAGGUACGAAAGCAUGGGGAGCAAACAGGAUUAGAUACCCCAGUAGUCCCUGUCUCUUAUAC